rnacentral:lncRNA from 1 species
AUGUUCAGAUCCAAGCAACAAAACCAACCAAACCGAGAAGCAUCCACCACGUCCGAGUCCGCGAGCCCUCGAGCCUUUGCACCUCAGCGAGGGAGCCUCCGUUUUCUACCAAGUCUUCCUUCGGGUCCGCUCCGCGCAGUGUGGGCUCAGUGGCCAGCGGCCGCAGGUCUGAGCAGGAAGAGCGGCCAGCGGGACUUGGCCUUGGUUGCCGACUGUGCCAGAGGAGGGGCGGCCGGGCUGGGCGGGCGGGGAGGGGGCAGCUUUCCAUCCCAGGGCUUCAGCUGUGCCCAGUCACCCCGUGUCUCCCACGCUGUGCCCCAGCUACCCCUCUGGCCCCGCGCCAGCACCCGAGUCCUGCAAACCUCGGGAGGCGUGUGCAGCCCCCGGAGACUGUCAGACCAGCAGCCCCGGGGUCCGCCCCCAACACCAAGGGCUGAGGUGUUUCCAGAACUAUGGGGCACCCAGGCCCCGUCCCUCCACGUGAGGGGGCUCCCGGUGCCAGGCCAGGGUCCCCUCCCUGCACCUAAGCGCGUGGGAGGACUUGCUCUGACCCGUCGUUCCUGGUUCCCCGUCUGGAGGAGGCCCCGGGCCUGGUCCGGGGGAGGGAAGGCCCGCCUCGCGAGCCAAGGCCUCAUCACUGGGUCGAAACCUCGGGCCCCUGCCCUGCAGUGCCUGGUCCCGCGAGGGAGCAGAGGGACAGGCCAGGCCGGCGCCUGGCUGCGCGGUGAGGUUGGGGUCACGGUGCUAUGGGUCUGGACGGCAGGAGCAGAGAGGGCGAGGCGUGGGGGGAGGCCGGGGCCGUCCACAGCCCCCUCCCCUGCCCUCGGGUCAGGUCCGGGGUGGGAGGGGCAGCAGACCAGGCAGCAGGGAGGAGCCCCUGGCCAGGCAGGGGAAGCAGCAAAAAAAAUAACAAAAGACUAGGCUCCGACAUGGCUCCACUGUCUCAUGAAACUUAAAAAGUAGGAAACUACACCUCACUUUCUAUUCAGCAUCAGCUCCUGAAGCUCCUGAGAUGAGGCUCCUUUUGUACUCCCGCUGUACAUAGCCCCGCCCGCCUCGGCUCCUCCUCUGUACAGGCCCCGCCCCUGCCGUCCGGCCCCUCCUCCCGCAGCCGCUCUGCCCGGGCCCUGCGCCCUCUGCCCCCCGACCCCCAGGACUGCAGCCAGGCCCCAGGCUUCCUUUCUUACCAUUCUGUAUGCUUCCAAGGUGUGACCAUUCAAAUCAACAGUAUUAUUAUUAUUAAGAUUAUUAAUAAAGAUUUCUUUCUUCAAACCA